UCCUAAGGUGUGAUUAGCGAUUGGGGUGAAGUCGUAACAAGGUAUCCGUACCGGAAGGUGCGGAUGGAUCACCUCCUUUCUAAGGAGCA
rnacentral:rRNA from 2 species